rnacentral:rRNA from 1 species
GGGGAAUCUUGCGCAAUGGGGGAAACCCUGACGCAGCGACGCCGCGUGGAGGAUGAAGGCCUUCGGGUUGUAAACUCCUUUUCUCAGGGAAAAUGGUGAUGGUACCUGAGGAAUAAGCCACGGCUAACUCUGUGCCAGCAGCCGCGGUAAGACAGAGGUGGCGAGCGUUGUUCGGAAUUACUGGGCUUAAAGGGCGAGUAGGCGGUAAGGCAAGUCCGAGGUGGAAUCCUAUGGCUUAACCAUAGAACGGCCUCGGAAACUGCUUUUCUUGAGUCAGUGAGGGGAGGGCGGAAUUCCUGGUGUAGCGGUGAAAUGCGUAGAUAUCAGGAGGAAGGCCUGUGGCGAAGGCGGCCCUCUGGCACUGUACUGACGCUGAGGCGCGAAAGCGUGGGGAGCAAACAG